rnacentral:rRNA from 1 species
UGGGGAAUAUUGCACAAUGGGCGCAAGCCUGAUGCAGCCAUGCCGCGUGUAUGAAGAAGGCCUUCGGGUUGUAAAGUACUUUCAGCGGGGAGGAAGGGAGUAAAGUAAAUACCUUUGCUCAUUGACGUUACCCGCAGAAGAAGCACCGGCUAACUCCGUGCCAGCAGCCGCGGUAAUACGGAGGGUGCAAGCGUUAAUCGGAAUUACUGGGCGUAAAGCGCACGCAGGCGGUUUGUUAAGUCAGAUGUGAAAUCCCCGGGCUCAACCUGGGAACUGCAUCUGAUACUGGCAAGCUUGAGUCUCGUAGAGGGGGGUAGAAUUCCAGGUGUAGCGGUGAAAUGCGUAGAGAUCUGGAGGAAUACCGGUGGCGAAGGCGGCCCCCUGGACGAAGACUGACGCUCAGGUGCGAAAGCGUGGGGAGCAAACAGG